rnacentral:rRNA from 1 species
UACCAGCACCCCGAGUGGUCGGGACGAUUAUUGGGCCUAAAGCAUCCGUAGCCGGUUUUACAAGUCCUCCGUUAAAUCCAACUGCUUAACAGAUGGGCCGCGGAGGAUACUAUAAGACUAGGAGGCAGGAGAGGCAAGCGGUACUCAGUGGGUAGGGGUAAAAUCCGCAGAUAUCGGGAGGAACACCAAUUGCGAAGGCAGCUCGCUGGGACGUCACUGACGCUGAGACGCGAAAGCGUGGGGAGCAAACAGG